rnacentral:rRNA from 1 species
GCAACCCCAGGUCUAGUUGGAUUACCCACUGAGUUUAAGCAUAUCAAUAAUUAGAGAAAAAAACCUACAAGGAUUUCCUUAAUAAUGGUGAGCGAACUGGGAAUAGCCCAACCUUAGAAUCGAGUGGCUCCAUCAUUCCAAUUGUAGUUUAGAGAAGCGUCCUCAGUGUCGAAUUAGGCCCAAGUCCACUGGAUGAGGGAGCCAUAGUGGGUGAGAGCCCCGUUGUGCCCGAACCUUGUCACACCAUGAGACAUUCUCUAUGAGUUGGGUUUUUUGGAAAUGUAGCCCAAAUCGAGCGGUGAAUUUCACCCAUGGCUUAAUACAAAUGAGAGGCUGAUAGAAAAAAAGGUUCUGCAAGGGAAAGAUUGAAAGGACAUUAAAAAGAGAGUCAAGGAGUUCUUGAAAUUGUUGGGAGGAAAGUGAAUGAGGGUCGUUGAUACGCCCUGGUCAGAUGUGGAACAACGAUGGGCCGGUCCAUCAAUCGAAUCGGGGCAUGGACCAGUGUAAAUUGGAGGGAGGAUUGAGCUCUUAAUAAGCUCGUGGAAUACCAUCUAAUUGAUUGUGGAAGGCGGCACAUGCCUCUAGCAUGCUUUGGAAUCUGCGCGCUCCAGACACUAGCAUAUGGGCUCCCUAUUCAACCCGUCUUAAAAUACGGACCAAGGAUUCUUAUAUGAACCAAGUUAACCCAUAAGGAAUAAUAAAGAUAAUUCAUUGCAUACCCCUAAGGGGUGCACCACCGACCGAUCUUGAUCUUCUUAGAAGGGUUCGAGUGUGAGCAUACCUAUCGGGACCCAAAAAUGGUGAACUAUGCCUUAGCGGGGUAAAGACAGAGUAAAUUUGGUGGAAGAACAAACCGAUAAUAAUAUUUAAAUCGUUUGUCUGACUUUGGUAUAGGGUCAAAAGACUAAUCAAACCGUCUAGUAGUUGGUUCUCUCCAAAGUUUCCCUCAGGAUAGCUGGAGCUCGCGUUCGAGUUCUAUCAGGUAAAGCCAAUGAUUAGUGGCCUUAGGUACACAAAUCCAUUGACCUAUACUAUAACUUUAAAUAGGUAGGAUAGUGUAUUUCCUUUGUUGAGCCAUGCGACAUAAUCAAGAGCUCUAAGUGGACCAUUUUUGGCAAGCAGGACUGGCGAUAUGGGAUGAACCGAAAGCUAGGUUAUGGUGCCAAAAUACACUCUAACCUACAUCCCACACAAGGUUUUGGUUGAUUAAUACAUCAAGACGGUAGUCAUGGAAGAGAAAAUCAACUAAAGAGUAUGUAAAAACUCACCUAUCUAAUCAACUAGCCCCAAAAAUAGAUGGUGCUUAAGCGCACAACCUACACUUGGCUGUUGGGUCAAGUGCCGAGCCCAGAUAAGUAGGAGAGCACGGCAGUACUGCUAACCCUUUAGCAUGAGCUAUGGUGAAGAGGCCGCUGGUGUAGAUAUUAGUGGUAGUAGCAAAUAUUCAAAUAAGAACUUUGAAGGCUGAAGAGGGGAAAGGUUCCAUAUGAAUGGUAGUUGCACAUGGGUUAGUUGAUCCUAAGGUUCAGGGGAACCUUGAUAGAUAGCAUGUAUCGUGCGUACUCUGAAAGGAAAUUAGGUUAAAAUUCUUAAAUCGGGACAUGCCAUUCGACAACAAUUUUAGAAAGUUCGAAGACGUCGCUGGGAGUCUUGGAAAGAUUUAUCUUUUUGAUUUAACAGCCUUCCCACCCUAGAAUUGCUCAGCUAGAGGUAGGGUCCAUUGGCUGAAAGAUUACCACACAUUCUGUAAUUUCUGAUGCACUCCUGGAAACCGUUAAAAUCUAAAUAACCAAAUUCCAUCCAUGCCUGAUCUUACUCAUAACUGCAUCAGGUCUCCAAGGUGAACAACCUCUGUUUGAUGGAACAAUAUAUGGAAGUAAAGGCAGAAAAAUGGAUCUAUAACUUUGGGAAAAAGAUUGGCUCUGAGGGCUGUGCACAAGGCUCCCAAUCCUGAAUCCAUCGGCUUUUGGUGGACUACUCGAGCUACUCCUAUCGUAAGAGUGGGUCGUCGCGUGCCAAUCAGGGGAUGAAAUAGGAGCAGUUCCUUUAUGGGCCUUCCCCAAGAACUUGUACAGACAAGGAGAAUCUGAAUGUUUACUUAAAACACAGCAUUGCGAUGGUCCCAAUGGAUGAUCACGCAAUGUGAUUUCUGCCCAGUGCUCCAAAUUUAAAAGUAAAUAAAUUCAACCAAGCACGGGUAAACGGUGGGAUUAACUAUGACUCUCUUAAGGUAGCCAAAUUCCUCAUCAUCUAAUUAGUGAUGUGCAUAAAUGGAUUAACAUGAUUCCCAUUAUCCCUGUCAACUAUCCAGUGAAACUACAACUAAGGGAAUAGACUUAGCAAAAUCAAUGGGGAAAGAAUAAUUUAUUGAGCUUGACUCUAGCCCGACUUUGUGAAAUAACUUAAGAGGUCUAGUAUAAAUAGGAACCGAAAGGAGAAAGUGAAAUACCACUACUUUUAAUGUUAUAUUGCUUAUUUUGUGAAUCAAAAGCAGGGCACUGCCCCUUUUUUUGGAUCCAAGGCUCGCUCUGUGGGCGGAUCCAGGUGGAAGACAUUGUUAGUUUAGUGAUUUGGCGAGGAGGCAUAUCUAUUAAGAGAUCAAGAACAAAAAUCUGGUGUGGAACGGAAGGAUAAAAGCUCAUUUGAUUCUGAUUUCCAGUAUCAAUACGAACAAUGAGAGCAUGGACUAAUGAUCCUUUAAACCUUCGAAAUUCAACACUAGAAGUGGUAAAAAAGUUACCAUAGUGAUAACUAGCUUGUAGCAGCCAAGCAUUCAUAGCGACAUCUCUUUUCGAUCCUUCGAUGUCGGCUCUUCUUAUUAUUGUAAAAAAGAAUUCACUAAGUAUUGGAUUGAUCAGCCACCAAUAGGUAACGUGAGCUCGGUUAAUACAAUUGUGAGACAGGUUAGUUAUACCCUACUGAUAAUAGUGUCUCAAUAUUAAUUUAACCUAGUACUAGAGGAACUUUCGAUUCACAUAAUUAGUCAUCGUGCUUGGUUGAAAUGCCAGUGUCAUGAAGCUACCAUGUGCUGGAUUAAGAGUAAAUACAUCUAAGUCAGAAUUCAGCCUAGAAGCAACACAUUUGCCCUCCUUCUGCUUUUCGACCUGCAGUAGGGGCCUCAGCCCCUAAUAGCACAUGUCGAUGGCUAAGACAUCGCGGCAAAAAGGUUGCAGUGGUCGCCUCUAAGUAAAAUUUUCAUAGAGAAGUGGGUAGAAUCCCUUAUAGAUUACUUAAAUACA